rnacentral:rRNA from 1 species
UACGAAGGGUGCAAGCGUUACUCGGAAUUACUGGGCGUAAAGCGUGCGUAGGUGGUUCGUUAAGUCUGAUGUGAAAGCCCCGAGCUCAACUUGGGAAUGGCAUUGGAAACUGGCGGGCUGGAGUGUGGCAGAGGGGGGUGGAAUUCCACGUGUAGCAGUGAAAUGCGUAGAGAUGUGGAGGAACACCGAUGGCGAAGGCAGCCCCCUGGGCCAACACUGACGCUCAGGCACGAAAGCGUGGGGAGCAAACAGG